rnacentral:rRNA from 2 species
GGGGGAUUAGGGUUCGAUUCCGGAGAGGGAGCCUGAGAAAUAGCUACCACUUCUACGGAGGGCAGCAGGCGCGCAAAUUGCCCAAUGUCAAAAAAAAACGAUGAGGCAGCGAAAAGAAAUAGAGCCGACAGUACCUUUUGGUAUUGUCGUUUUCAAUGGGGGAUAUUUAAACCCAUCCAAAAUCGAGUAACAAUUGGAGGACAAGUCUGGUGCCAG